rnacentral:rRNA from 1 species
AUACGGGAGGCAGCAGUGGGGAAUAUUGCACAAUGGGCGAAAGCCUGAUGCAGCAACGCCGCGUGAGUGAUGAAGGCCUUCGGGUUGUAAAGCUCUGUCUUUUGGGACGAUAAUGACGGUACCAAAGGAGGAAGCCACGGCUAACUACGUGCCAGCAGCCGCGGUAAUACGUAGGUGGCAAGCGUUGUCCGGAUUUACUGGGCGUAAAGGAUGCGUAGGCGGAUAUUUAAGUGGGAUGUGAAAUACCCGGGCUCAACCUGGGUGCUGCAUUCCAAACUGGGUAUCUAGAGUGCGGGAGAGGAGAGUGGAAUUCCUAGUGUAGCGGUGAAAUGCGUAGAGAUUAGGAAGAACACCAGUGGCGAAGGCGACUCUCUGGACCGUAACUGACGCUGAGGCAUGAAAGCGUGGGGAGCAAACAGGAUUAGAUACCCCGGUAGU